rnacentral:rRNA from 1 species
AGAGUUUGAUUAUGGCUCAGAAUCAACGCUGGCGGCGUGCCUAACACAUGCAAGUCGAACGAGAAAGGGUAGCAAUACCUGAGUAAAGUGGCGUACGGGUGAGUAACACGUGGAUCAUUUACCUUUUAGUGAGGAAUAACCAUGGGAAACCGUGGCUAAUACCGCAUAAUCUCGAGAGAGGAAAGUCGCAAGACGCUGAAAGAGAAGUCCGCGGCCGAUUAGCUAGUUGGCAGGGUAAAAGCCUACCAAGGCGAAGAUCGGUAGCCGGCCUGAGAGGGCACACGGCCACACUGGCACUGAAACACGGGCCAGACUCCUACGGGAGGCAGCAGUGGGGAAUCUUGCACAAUGGGGGAAACCCUGAUGCAGCGACGCCGCGUGAGCGAUGAAGCCCUUCGGGGUGUAAAGCUCUUUCGUCAGGGAAGAUAGUGACGGUACCUGGAGAAGCAGCUGCGGCUAACUACGUGCCAGCAGCCGCGGUAAUACGUAGGCAGCGAGCGUUGUUCGGAGUUACUGGGCGUAAAGGGUGUGUAGGCGGUUGUUUAAGUUUGGUGUGAAAUCUCCCGGCUCAACUGGGAGGGUGCGCCGAAUACUGAAUGACUUCGAGUGCGGGAGAGGAAAGUGGAAUUCCUGGUGUAGCGGUGAAAUGCGUAGAUAUCA